GAUGAAGAACGUAGCGAAAUGCGAUAAGUAAUGUGAAUUGCAGAAUUCAGUGAAUCAUCGAAUCUUUGAACGCACAUUGCGCCCGCCAGUAUUCUGGCGGGCAUGCCUGUCUGGGCGUCAUUUCAACCCUCAUGCCCCUAGGGCGUGGUGUUGGGGAUCGGCCAAAGCCCGCGAGGGACGGCCGGCCCCUAAAUCUAGUGGCGGACCCGUCGUGGCCUCCUCUGCGAAGUAGUGAUAUUCCGCAUCGGAGAGCGAUGAGCCCCUGCCGUUAAACCCCCAACUUUCCAAGGUUGACCUCAGAUCAGGUAGGAAUACCCGCUGAACUUAAGCAUAUCAAUAAGCGGAGGA
rnacentral:misc_RNA from 1 species